UACGUAGGGGGCUAGCGUUGUCCGGAUUUAUUGGGCGUAAAGAGCGUGUAGGCGGCCUGACAGGUCUGCUGUGAAAACUCGAGGCUCAACCUCGAGAUGUCGGCGGAAACCGUCUGGCUAGAGUCCGGAAGAGGAGAGUGGAAUUCCUGGUGUAGCGGUGAAAUGCGCAGAUAUCAGGAAGAACACCUAUGGCGAAGGCAGCUCCCUGGGACGGUACUGACGCUGAGACGCGAAAGCGUGGGGAGCGAACAGG
rnacentral:rRNA from 1 species